CCAUUGGUAUCCAGUGCUCCAUAACCAUCGAAUCCAUCGUUCAUGUCUGUCACUCACCGGAAAGUCGGAAACCAGAUCUAUGCUCUUCUUUCUGGAGGAGGAUAUGCAAAGAAAGUUGUUGUACCCUUUGGAAAAAUCCUUCCAAUCCUGCAGGAUUAUUCGUAAAAGAUGCAGCCUUUUUCCCUAAAGUGGAGCUUGGUUUCCCUGAAUACGAACACGGCUUAUGAAUUCACAUUAUCUUCUUAGAUAUUCAAUUAUAGUUCGCGGCCUAACUACAUGUGAGUGAGAAUGAGUGGUUCGGGUAGAAAACGUGUUUUGAUAUGGGAUUCCUAGGAAGAAGAUAUUCAUCAUCUUAGUGGAAAUGAAUAUGUUGGGAAGUCAGCUUCUUAUAUUCGUAACAAGAUCCCGUCCAUGUUUCUAUCCAGAGGGUAAUGGUUGGGAGCCAACAUGAGAUCUGCUCUGGAUGAUAUGAUUAGGACAGUGAACAUCUGCAUCUAGACAACAUUCAGUAAAAGCUUGGCCUCCCAAAAGCAAUGAUGAUGGUCAUGCUGCCAUGAUUUGUUACUAUGAUGCUAUCAAAAUCUUCUGAGCAAGAGGAAAAUAGGCAAUUGUAUUUCCGCCAGUCACCUUUGAGGGACAGGCCUAGAACCCGUAGGAGGGCCGUAGCCCAUUGCAGAAGUUAGACGAGAUACUGGAGGAUCCUAUGACAACGCAAGACGGGGUCAGGAGAGAAAUUGAUGGUAGAUGUAAUAGAGAUGGUGACUAUGACUUGGAAGCUAAGAAUAUAAAGACGAGUAAAGAUUUGUAGUAGAAAACUUCUUUAUCCUAAAUAAUUGUAUUGUACCGUGCAUAUUCAAUAAAACUAGAAACAAUAGCUUAGAGCAUUUAAUUGAUGUAAAACUAAAGGAUAUGUUUACAGCUAUUGUUCUCUUUAUUGGAAUAAAUUUUGUUUUUCUU